rnacentral:rRNA from 1 species
AGGACGAACGCUGGCGGCGUGCUUAACACAUGCAAGUCGAGCGAGGCCCUACCUUCGGGUAGGUGACCUAGCGGCGAACGGGUGAGUAACACGUGGGCAACCUACCCUCAGCUCUGGGAUAACCCCGGGAAACCGGAGCUAAUACCGGAUAUGACCUAAAAGGACAUCCUUUUGGUGGAAAGUUUUUCGGCUGAGGAUGGGCCCGCGGCCUAUCAGCUAGUUGGUGGGGUCAUAGCCCACCAAGGCGACGACGGGUAG